CUUUGGACUCUCUCUCUCUCUCUCCGGACUACCGUGAUCGAUUUCCGUGAUUCCUUUCCCGCCUUGGUCUGCUCGACUAGACAUUUUCCACGCACUCGUCUUCACGACGACUGUACGAGAGCAUUUCCGUUUUCAACUACUUUGUGGGCAACAGAUUUCUGAUUUAUAAACAAACUGUCGACUGUGUGUUCAAACAAGGGGGGUUUAUAAUCGAAAAACUUGUACUUAUAAUGUACCUAUAAUAAAGGUACAUGGAAAAUAAAACCGGGUCAACCGAUUCCAGAAUGACUAACAAAAAAAAAAAAAAAAUCAAAUUCACUUAAAAUCACCGAGAAAAUUGCGUUCACAAUAAAAAAAAAAAUCCCCCUGUAUUUAAAAAAAAAAAAAAAAUUACGUGCAUCAAAAUUGAACCCUAUUAUUAUUGUAGUGGCAAUUAAUUAUAUUAAUUGAAAAUCGACUUUUUGGAUUUAGUCUUUAUGACUUGUCGUCGCAUACCAUUGAUUAAUUGUUGGUAAAAAAAAAAAAAAUUCAAAUUUCAAAAUUAGGUCAGCUGUUGACGUUCGUUAAUCACGUAAUAACAUUAAAAAAAAAAAGAAGAAAUUAUUAACCUAACCUUAAUUUUACCGACAACAACGAGAAUAAUGAAAGAGGACCACAACUUACUUUUGUGAAAAUACCUACCAGGGUCCCAUGACGUGACGGCGCGUUUCCGAAUAAAAACCUGACGAGUUAUCGCCGCCGCUGCCACCGCCGACAAGUAUUAUUUUUAUAAUAUAAUUUCUAAUAUUAUUAUUAUUUAGGUAUUUCGAAGUAUGAAUAUCACAGUUUUUAUGUCAUGAACAUUUUGCUUCACGAAUCCACCAGUAUGUUAACAUCACACACGCAAUUCGUGCGAUUCGACAUGGCUCGAAAUCGUACGCAGGAC